rnacentral:rRNA from 1 species
GACGAACGCUGGCGGCGUGCUUAACACAUGCAAGUCGAACGGAAAGACCCUGCUUUUGUGGGGUGCUCGAGUGGCGAACGGGUGAGUAACACGUGAGUAACCUGCCCUUGACUUUGGGAUAACUUCAGGAAACUGGGGCUAAUACCGGAUAGGAGCUCCUGCUGCAUGGUGGGGGUUGGAAAGUUUCGGCGGUUGGGGAUGGACUCGCGGCUUAUCAGCUUGUUGGUGGGGUAGUGGCUUACCAAGGCUUUGACGGGUAGCCGGCCUGAGAGGGUGACCGGCCACAUUGGGACUGAGAUACGGCCCAGACUCCUACGGGAGGCAGCAGUGGGGAAUAUUGCACAAUGGGCGGAAGCCUGAUGCAGCAACGCCGCGUGCGGGAUGACGGCCUUCGGGUUAUAAACCGCUUUCGCCUGUGACGAAGCGUGAGUGACGGUAAUGGGUAAAGAAGCACCGGCUAACUACGUG